rfam:Rahnella aquatilis CIP 78.65 = ATCC 33071, complete genome.
AACCCCCAGCUAGGCUGGGGGUUCCGUAAAGCUUCCAGCUUUGAGCCGGAUAUAAAAACCCCUUUUGAUUUGUUAAAACACCUUGCGGUCUGGCAACUGCAUUGGUCAAACAAGAAAUCAAAAG